rnacentral:rRNA from 1 species
AUUGAACGCUGGCGGCAGGCUUAACACAUGCAAGUCGAGCGGGGGAAGGUAGCUUGCUACCGGACCUAGCGGCGGACGGGUGAGUAAUGCUUAGGAAUCUGCCUAUUAGUGGGGGACAACAUCUCGAAAGGGAUGCUAAUACCGCAUACGUCCUACGGGAGAAAGCAGGGGAUCUUCGGACCUUGCGCUAAUAGAUGAGCCUAGGUCGGAUUAGCUAGGUGGUGGGGUAAAGGCCUACCAAGGCGACGAUCUGUAGCGGGGCUGAGAGGAUGGUCCGCCACACUGGGAAUGAGACACGGCCCAGACUCCUACGGGAGGCAGCAGUGGGGAAUAUUGGACAAUGGGGGGAACCCUGAUCCAGCCAUGCCGCGUGUGUGAAGAAGGCCUUAUGGUUGUAAAGCACUUUAAGCGAGGAGGAGGCUACUCUAGUUAAUACCUAGGGAUAGUGGACGUUACUCGCAGAAUAAGCACCGGCUAACUCUGUGCCAGCCGCCGCAGUAA